rnacentral:rRNA from 1 species
GGCGGCGUGCCUUAACCACAUGCCAAGUCGAGCGAGGCUUUUUUAGAGUGGAAUUUUUCGAAAAUGAAACUCUAACUUUCCUAGCGGCGGACGGGUGAGUAACGCGUGAGAAACCUGCCUUUCACAACGGGAUAGCCUCGGGAAACUGGGAUUAAUGCCGUAUGAAACUCUUAUUUCAGCAUUGAAAAUGAGUUAAAGCGUAAAGCGGUGAAAGAUGGUCUCGCGUCCCAUUAGUUAGUUGGUGAGGUAACGGCUCACCAAGACAACGAUGGGUAGCCGGCCUGAGAGGGUGAACGGCCACAUUGGAACUGAGACACGGUCCAAACUCCUACGGGAGGCAGCAGUGGGGAAUAUUGCACAAUGGAGGGAACUCUGAUGCAGCGACGCCGCGUGAACGAUGAAGGCUUUCGAGUCGUAAAGUUCUGUCCUAUGGGAAGAUAAUGACGGUACCAUAGGAGGAAGCCCCGGCUAACUACGUGCCAGCAGCCGCGGUAAUACGUAGGGGGCGAGCGUUGUCCGGAAUUAUUGGGCGUAAAGGGUUCGCAGGCGGUAAUGUAAGUCUGAUGUGAAAUCCUGUGGCUAAACCACAGUAAGCAUUAGAAACUGCAUAACUUGAGUCAAGGAGAGGUAAGUGGAAUUCCUAGUGUAGCGGUGAAAUGCGUAGAUAUUAGGAGGAAUACCAGUGGCGAAGGCGACUUACUGGACUUGAACUGACGCUGAGGAACGAAAGCGUGGGUAGCAAACAGGAUUAGAUACCCUGGUAGUCCACGCCGUAAACGAUGAGUGCUAGGUGUCGGGAGUCAAAUCUCGGUGCCGUAGUUAACGCAAUAAGCACUCCG